GACAGAUCCCUGGAAUCUGUGGGGUCCCAUGGAUGCACAAAGAACAGGCUUGAGGAGACCCACUGCUCUUACUCCCAUUUUACAGGAUCCUGUUCCCACCCCGCUGGUCACUAUCCUGAUUUCCCCACAACCAUGGAGGACCAGCCCCACCAGAUUGUCUUUGGAAAGCUGUCUUCCCUGAGGUCCCUGAGGCUCUGCCCAGUGAUAAGGGCAAAUAGCCCCAUCAAUGAUGAACUAACCCUCUCUAGAGGAAUUCAGUAAAGCAAAAUCCACUACAA